UGGUGGAGCGAUUUGUCUGGUUUAUUCCGAUAACGAACGAGACUCCGACCUACUAACUAGUGAGGCGAUCUUUUGUCGUCGGCACUUCUUAGAGGGACAAGCGGUGUUCAGCCGCAUGAGAAGGAGCAAUAACA
rnacentral:rRNA from 1 species